rnacentral:rRNA from 1 species
AUUGAACGCUGGCGGCAGGCCUAACACAUGCAAGUCGAACGAGUGGCGGACGGGUGAGUAAUGUCUGGGAAACUGCCCGAUGGAGGGGGCUAACUACUGGGAACGGUAGCUAAUACCGCAUACCAUCGGAUGUGCCCAGAUGUGAUUAGCUAGUAGGUGGGGUAACGGCCAACCUAGCCUACGAUCCCUAGCUGGUCUGAGCGGAUGACCAGCCACACUGGAACUGAGACACGGUCCAGACUCCUACGGUCGGCAGCAGUGGGGAAUAUUGCACAAUGGGCGCAAGCCUGAUGCAGCCAUGCCGCGUGUGUGAAGAAGGCCUUCGGUUUGUAAAGUACUUUCAGCGAGGAGGCGUUACCCGCAGAAUAAGCACCGGCUAACUCCGUGCCAGCAGCCGCGGUAAUAC